UGGGGAAUAUUGGGCAAUGGGCGCAAGCCUGACCCAGCAACGCCGCGUGAAGGAAGAAGGCUUUCGGGUUGUAAACUUCUUUUCUGGGGGACGAACAAAUGACGGUACCCCAGGAAUAAGCCACGGCUAACUACGUGCCAGCAGCCGCGGUAAUACGUAGGUGGCAAGCGUUAUCCGGAUUUAUUGGGUGUAAAGGGCGUGUAGGCGGGAAUGCAAGUCAGAUGUGAAAACUAUGGGCUCAACCCAUAGCCUGCAUUUGAAACUGUAUUUCUUGAGUGCUGGAGAGGCAAUCGGAAUUCCGUG
rnacentral:rRNA from 1 species